UUUACUCAAAAUGUGAUUAGUGAAACUCUGAGAAUGGCAAACAUAAUCAAUGGGGUCUGGAGAAAAGCUCUCAAGGAUGUUCAAAACUUCAAAUCAAAGGUUACUUGAUACCUAAGGGAUGGUGUGUGUUAGCUUCUUUUAGUUCAGUUCACAUGGAUGAAGAGAAUUAUGACAACCCUUAUGAAUUUGAUC